ACAAGAUUAGCGGCGGACGGGUGAGUAACACGUGGGUAACCUGCCUGUAAGACCGGGAUAACAUUCGGAAACGGAUGCUAAUACCGGAUACGCGGUUUGGUCGCAUGACCGAACCGGGAAAGAUGGAGCAAUCUAUCACUUACAGAUGGACCCGCGGCGCAUUAGCUAGUUGGUGAGGUAACGGCUCACCAAGGCGACGAUGCGUAGCCGACCUGAGAGGGUGAUCGGCCACACUGGGACUGAGACACGGCCCAGACUCCUACGGGAGGCAGCAGUAGGGAAUCUUCCGCAAUGGACGAAAGUCUGACGGAGCAACGCCGCGUGAGUGAUGAAGGUUUUCGGAUCGUAAAGCUCUGUUGCCAGGGAAGAAUGCUUGGGAGAGUAACUGCUCCCAAGGUGACGGUACCUGAGAAGAAAGCCCCGGCUAACUACGUGCCAGCAGCCGCGGUAAUACGUAGGGGGCAAGCGUUGUCCGGAAUUAUUGGGCGUAAAGCGCGCGCAGGCGGCCUUGUAAGUCUGUUGUUUAAACUUGGGGCUCAAC
rnacentral:rRNA from 1 species